CAGCCGCCGCGGUAAUACCGGCGGCCCGAGUGGCGGUCACUAUUAUUGGGCUUAAAGCGUCCGUAGCCGGGUUGGGAAGUCCUCCGGGAAAUCUGGCCGCUUAACGGUCAGAAUGCCGGAGGAUACUCCCAGCCUAGGGGGCGGGAGAGGCCGAGGGGAUUCCCGGAGGAGGGGGGAAAUCCUAUAAUCCCGGGAGGACCACCUGUGGCGAAGGCGCUCGGCUGGAACGCGUCCGACGGUGAGGGACGAAGGCCAGGGGAGCAAACCGGAUUAGAUACCCGGGUAGUCCUGGCGGUAAACGAUGCGGACUUUGUGUCGGACAAGCUAUGAGCUUGUCCGGUGCCGGAGGGAAACCGUUAAGUCCGCCGCCUGGGGAGUACGGCCGCAAGGCUGAAACUUAAAGGAAUUGGCGGG
rnacentral:rRNA from 1 species